rnacentral:rRNA from 1 species
AUUGAACGCUGGCGGCAGGCCUAACACAUGCAAGUCGAGCGGGGUUUUCGGACCUAGCGGCGGACGGGUGAGUAAUGCGUAGGAAGCUGCCCGAUAGAGGGGGAUACCAGUUGGAAACGACUGUUAAUACCGCAUAAUGUCUACGGACCAAAGUGUGGGACCUUCGGGCCACAUGCUAUCGGAUGCGCCUACGUGGGAUUAGCUAGUUGGUGAGGUAAUGGCUCACCAAGGCGACGAUCUCUAGCUGGUUUGAGAGGAUGAUCAGCCACACUGGAACUGAGACACGGUCCAGACUCUUACGGGAGGCAGCAGUGGGGAAUAUUGGACAAUGGGCGCAAGCCUGAUCCAGCCAUGCCGCGUGUGUGAAGAAGGCCUUCGGGUUGUAAAGCACUUUCAGCGAGGAGGAAGGGUGGUGUUUUAAUAGAGCAUCAUUUUGACGUUACUCGCAGAAGAAGCACCGGCUAACUCUGUGCCAGCCGCCGCCGUAAAAC